rnacentral:antisense_RNA from 1 species
AGUUAUGGUGGGGCGUGCGGGGCAGCCGAAAGGCUGGCCGGUCGCCUUUUCCCGGUAGUCUCAACCCUGUACGUCCCACCACCCGA